CGCGCGAAGACGAAAGGCUAUCAGUAUCAACUUCUAACUUCUCAGAAGGAUCACUCAACUCGCCGAUCCAAAAUGUCUGCGAUCAAAACAAGAAUGGGAAGUAGAGCUUGAUUUCUGAAUUUCCGGCCUUCCUUUUUGAAUUGAUGAGAGACACGAACGAUGUCGCUUCCAUCACCGGGAGCUCCGACGAGGAUCUUCUCGCUGAAUCAGCUGAGAUAAUACGCGGCAAGUUGAUUGAGAGGUUCACCAACUCAUCCUUUACGACAACUUCAUUUCUCCCACUGAGGAACUGGCAACCCCAUCAAAAGCUACGGCCAAGCGAUCACGCUUCAAUUGGCCAAGUAUUCUCAAGUUCGUGUAAAUAAAGAUCCUGUCAUGAAAGGUAUGUAACUUCUGGCAUUCGGGUCAGAGUUGAAGUUCUAAGCUUCUGAAUUUCGUAGUCAUUGCAUUGAUUGCUAUUUGGGUGGCAAAUGGGCUGGUUUGUACUUCGGAGGUGUUCCACCCGGUCCUUCGUCCUAUAUAGACUUGCAUCAUUUCAUCCUGAAGAUUACUAUAUCGAAACUUGGAUGGACACAAUAAGGCGCAAAGAUAUGGAGGUUCAACUUGCUGUUUCCUGUUCAAUGGGAUCGAUGAAUUGUCUGUAAGUCCAUGUUUUAGGUGGUUUUCAUG